GCUUGCAUCUUGAUUUAAUUUUGAACGAGUGGCGGACGGGUGAGUAACACGUGGGUAACCUGCCCUUAAGUGGGGGAUAACAUUUGGAAACAGAUGCUAAUACCGCAUAAAUCCAAGAACCGCAUGGUUCUUGGCUGAAAGAUGGCGUAAGCUAUCGCUUUUGGAUGGACCCGCGGCGUAUUAGCUAGUUGGUGAGGUAACGGCUCACCAAGGCAAUGAUACGUAGCCGAACUGAGAGGUUGAUCGGCCACAUUGGGACUGAGACACGGCCCAAACUCCUACGGGAGGCAGCAGUAGGGAAUCUUCCACAAUGGACGCAAGUCUGAUGGAGCAACGCCGCGUGAGUGAAGAAGGCUUUCGGGUCGUAAAACUCUGUUGUUGGAGAAGAAUGGUCGGCAGAGUAACUGUUGUCGGCGUGACGGUAUCCAACCAGAAAGCCACGGCUAACUACGUGCCAGCAGCCGCGGUAAUACGUAGGUGGCAAGCGUUAUCCGGAUUUAUUGGGCGUAAAGCGAGCGCAGGCGGUUUUUUAAGUCUGAUGUGAAAGCCCUCGGCUUAACCGAGGAAGUGCAUCGGAAACUGGGAAACUUGAGUGCAGAAGAGGACAGUGGAACUCCAUGUGUAGCGGUGAAAUGCGUAGAUAUAUGGAAGAACACCAGUGGCGAAGGCGGCUGUCUGGUCUGUAACUGACGCUGAGGCUCGAAAGCAUGGGUAGCGAACAGGAUUAGAUACCCUGGUAGUCCAUGCCGUAAACGAUGAAUGCUAGGUGUUGGAGGGUUUCCGCCCUUCAGUGCCGCAGCUAACGCAUUAAGCAUUCCGCCUGGGGAGUACGACCGCAAGGUUGAAACUCAAAGGAAUUGACGGGGGCCCGCACAAGCGGUGGAGCAUGUGGUUUAAUUCGAAGCAACGCGAAGAACCUUACCAGGUCUUGACAUCUUUUGAUCACCUGAGAGAUCAGGUUUCCCCUUCGGGGGCAAAAUGACAGGUGGUGCAUGGUUGUCGUCAGCUCGUGUCGUGAGAUGUUGGGUUAAGUCCCGCAACGAGCGCAACCCUUAUGACUAGUUGCCAGCAUUUAGUUGGGCACUCUAGUAAGACUGCCGGUGACAAACCGGAGGAAGGUGGGGAUGACGUCAAAUCAUCAUGCCCCUUAUGACCUGGGCUACACACGUGCUACAAUGGAUGGUACAACGAGUUGCGAGACCGCGAGGUCAAGCUAAUCUCUUAAAGCCAUUCUCAGUUCGGACUGUAGGCUGCAACUCGCCUACACGAAGUCGGAAUCGCUAGUAAUCGCGGAUCAGCACGCCGCGGUGAAUACGUUCCCGGGCCUUGUACACACCGCCCGUCACACCAUGAGAGUUUGUAACACCCGAAGCCGGUGGCGUAA
rnacentral:rRNA from 2 species